UACGUAGGGUGCAAGCGUUUAAUCGGAAUACUGGGCGUAAAGCGUGCGCAGGCGGUUUUGUAAGUCUGACGUGAAAUCCCCGGGCUCAACCUGGGAAUGGCAUUUGGGACUGCAAGGCUGGAGUGCGGCAGAGGAGACUGGAAUUCCUGGUGUAGCAGUGAAAUGCGUAGAUAUGCGGAGGAACACCGAUGGCGAAGGCAAUCCCCUGGGCCUGCACUGACGCUCAUGCACGAAAGCGUGGGGAGCAAACAGG
rnacentral:rRNA from 1 species